UUAGACCAAAAAUAAGUGGGGCGUGGCCAAGCGGUAAGGCAACGGGUUUUGGUCCCGUUACUCGGAGGUUCGAAUCCUUCCGUCCCAG
rnacentral:tRNA from 1 species